rnacentral:rRNA from 1 species
AUUGAACGCUGGCGGCAUGCCUUACACAUGCAAGUCGAACGGCAGCACGGGAGCAAUCCUGGUGGCGAGUGGCGAACGGGUGAGUAAUAUAUCGGAACGUGCCCAGUCGUGGGGGAUAACGUAGCGAAAGCUAAGCGAAUACCGCAUACGAUCUACGGAUGAAAGCGGGGGAUCGCAAGAACUCGCGCGAUUGGACCGGCAGAUAUCAGAUUAGCUAGUUGGUGAGGUAAAGGCUAACCAAGGCGACGAUCUGUAGCUGGUCUGAGAGGACGACCAGCCACACUGGAACUGAGACACGGUCCAGACUCCUACGGGAGGCAGCAGUGGGGAAUUUUGGACAAUGGGCGCAAGCCUGAUCCAGCAAUGCCGCGUGCAGGAUGAAGGCCUUCGGGUUGUAAACUGCUUUUGUACGGAACGAAACGGUGAGCUCUAAUACAGUUUGCUAAUGACGGUACCGUAAGAAUAAGCACCGGCUAACUACGUGCCAGCCGCCGCAGUAA